GACGAACGCUGGCGGCGUGCCUAAUACAUGCAAGUCGAACGCUUCUUUCCUCCCGAGUGCUUGCACUCAAUUGGAAAGAGGAGUGGCGGACGGGUGAGUAACACGUGGGUAACCUACCCAUCAGAGGGGGAUAACACUUGGAAACAGGUGCUAAUACCGCAUAACAGUUUAUGCCGCAUGGCAUAAGAGUGAAAGGCGCUUUCGGUUGUCGCUUAUGGAUGGACCCGCGGUGCAUUAGCUAGUUGGUGAGGUAACGGCUCACCAAGGCCACGAUGCAUAGCCGACCUGAGAGGGUGAUCGGCCACACUGGGACUGAGACACGGCCAGACUCCUACGGGAGGCAGCAGUAGGGAAUCUUCGGCAAUGGACGAAAGUCUGACCGAGCAACGCCGCGUGAGUGAAGAAGGUUUUCGGAUCGUAAAACUCUGUUGUUAGAGAAGAACAAGGACGUUAGUAACUGAACGUCCCCUGACGGUAUCUAACCAGAAAGCCACGGCUAACUACGUG
rnacentral:rRNA from 1 species